UUGAUGCAAAUACAAUCUUUUAAACUUCGUUCUUAAACUGCAUUUUUUAAUAUUUAUAUGUCCAAUUAACUUAGUAAUAAAGGAUAUUAAUAAGCAAGUUGGGUUAUGAGUUACAUCCAAACUACUCCAUACGGUAAAAUAUAUACUAGAUUGAUAUAUAUACUUAAUGCUUACACCUUGAUUGGAAUCUCUCCCAUUUUUACACAAAAAGUUUGAUG
rnacentral:lncRNA from 1 species